GACGAACGCUGGCGGCGUGCUUAACACAUGCAAGUCGAACGGAAAGGCCCUGCUUGCAGGGUACUCGAGUGGCGAACGGGUGAGUAACACGUGGGUGAUCUGCCCUGCACUUCGGGAUAAGCCUGGGAAACUGGGUCUAAUACCGGAUAGGAGCCAUUUUUAGUGUGAUGGUUGGAAAGUUUUUUCGGUGUAGGAUGAGCUCGCGGCCUAUCAGCUUGUUGGUGGGGUAAUGGCCUACCAAGGCGGCGACGGGUAGCCGGACUGAGAGGGUGGACGGCCACAUUGGGACUGAGAUGCGGCCCAGACUCCUACGGGAGGCAGCAGUGGGGAAUAUUGCACAAUGGGCGCAAGCCUGAUGCAGCGACGCCGCGUGGGGGAUGACGGCCUUCGGGUUGUAAACUCCUUUCGCUAGGGACGAAGCUUUUUGUGACGGUACCUAGAUAAGAAGCACCGGCUAACUACGUG
rnacentral:rRNA from 1 species